rnacentral:rRNA from 1 species
GGCCUUGACAUACUAAGAACUUUCCAGAGAUGGAUUGGUGCCUUCGGGAACUUAGAUACAGGUGCUGCAUGGCUGUCGUCAGCUCGCGUCGUGAGAUGUUGGGUUAAGUCCCGCAACGAGCGCAACCCUUUUCCUUAUUUGCCAGCGGGUCAUGCCGGGAACUUUAAGGAUACUGCCAGUGACAAACUGGAGGAAGGCGGGGACGACGUCAAGUCAUCAUGGCCCUUACGGCCAGGGCUACACACGUGCUACAAUGGUCGGUACAAAGGGUUGCUACCUCGCGAGAGGAUGCUAAUCUCAAAAAGCCGAUCGUAGUCCGGAUCGCAGUCUGCAACUCGACUGCGUGAAGUCGGAAUCGCUAGUAAUCGCGGAUCAGAAUGCCGCGGUGAAUACGUUCCCGGGCCUUGUAUACACCGCCCGUCACACCAUGGGAGUUUGUUGCACCAGAAGUAGGUAGUCUAACCGCAAGGAGGACGCUUACCACGGUGUGGCCGAUGACUGGGGUGAAGUCGUAACAAGGUAGGCGUAGAUGA